ensembl:lncRNA
CUCCUGCCAGCCCUAUCUGCUCUCCUCCUUUUUGAGGCGUCAUGGAAGCUCCGUAUGAAGCCAUAUCCUGAAGUGACACAGGCUUCUCCCUGCAAUGCCCUGAAAGAAGGUUGUAGCGAGUUGGAGGUCGGCAUCUUUUCCCAGGCACAGACAGCUGAUCAAUACGGCUUGCAACCGUGCUGCUCUUCCGAGGCUCAUCUUGCAAACUCCACUGAGGGCACAGAGCCUUUCCCAUUCAUUCAGGGGAGGUGAGCAGGAGAAGAGCAGCCCAGCUGGAGGACAGCCUGGAGAUGCAGAGCACCACCCCAGAGCAUCAGCAGCCUGCUGAUUGCUCCUAAUGAGAGAGUGAAAAGCAAGGUCUAUCUCACCAGUAUGCGCACACAUGGAGCCAGCACAGGAGGCUGAUGCCUGACCGACUCACUCCUGUGAUGGAAAUGUGUUUGCUGGGCUGUGGCAAGGGAUGGAGGCAAUGUCCAUUCCACUUUCUGCAUCAGGAGGAACGGCCUCGUCCAGCAACUCUUCUGAGCUCUCUUGAAAAUACUGAGUGCCUGAUGAGUGUUGCUGUUGGACAAUGGGUUCCUGCUUUUCAGGAGGCUGAAGGUUACGUAUGCAAGUUGAAUCUGGGAACUGGGAAUUGGUGGUGUCUGCCUGCAUUUUGGAGAGAACUCUGGGGUGACCAGUGGCUCCCAGUCCAACCCAGUCCAAUCCAACCCAAUCCGAUGGGAGAACAAGACCAAAGGAAAGAGGCCACGGAGCUGCUAAAGGGCACAAAACCAGCAGUAAGAGGGUGCAGUGGUUAAAUCUUUGCACGUUUUCCCCAUUCAUUCCUCCUAAGGCAACAUCUUUAUUGUGGUCUUUGCUCCUACACAAGCCCACAC